rnacentral:rRNA from 1 species
AUUAUGGCUCAGGAUGAACGCUGGCGGCGUGCUUAACACAUGCAAGUCGAACGGAGUUUUUAAACGGAAGUUUUCGGAUGGAAGUUUAGAAACUUAGUGGCGGACGGGUGAGUAACGCGUGGGUAACCUGCCUCAUACAGGGGGAUAACAGUUAGAAAUGACUGCUAACACCGCAUAAUAUAGCGAAACCGCAUGAUUUUUGCUAUCAAAUAUUUAUAGGUAUGAGAUGGGCCCGCGUCUGAUUAGCUAGUUGGUGGGGUAGAAGCCUACCAAGGCGACGAUCAGUAGCCGGCUUGAGAGAGUGACCGGCCACAUUGGGACUGAGACACGGCCCAAACUCCUACGGGAGGCAGCAGUGGGGAAUAUUGGACAAUGGGGGAAACCCUGAUCCAGCGACGCCCGCGUGAGUGAAGAAGUAUUUCGGUAUGUAAAGCUCUAUCAGCAGGGAAGAUAAUGACAGUACCUGACUAAGAAGCCCCGGCUAACUACGUGCCAGCAGCAGC